AGUCUAACUUAAAAGCUCGCGAUUUCCUGAAAUCCUUUCCCUCAAAUCCUCCCUGCUUUCCCUCCUUCGGAUUCCUCCUUUCUUUCCCUUUUGCCUCCUUCACUCCACAAACAUCAAAAUAGCCCCAAAGUCAAAGAGCCUUCAACUCUCUCUGAAUCUUGCUCCGAUUGAACUAGAAAUCAAUCAUUUCAGAUUGAGAAUGAGUUCCACCUACAUAUCGAGCUACGUCAACGAUGCCCGAGUCCACUUUAGAGCCACCUACGUGAACCUCUAAAAGUGGCAGGAAUCCGAUACCAAGCUCGUGAGAUCAGUGGGCUCCGCAGCGCGCGACGGCACCGUCGGCCGGCCUAGGGUGGUGGACAGCAUCUCCUGUCGGCAAAUGUACCUGAGGAGCUACACAUUCUCCAGGAAGGAGACCGUGUUGGAGAAGACCAGGAAGUGCUUGGGCAGAGUGAAGGAGAGGGUGACAGGGUGACCCAUAGCGGCUGGCAGCGUCGAAUUGCAGAUGAGGGCAGAGGUGGCGGGCGUCGGAGGAGGUGCCGAGAGAUGAGCAGGGUGAAGGAGGUGUCGUGCGCAGCCGACCUUGUAUGCCAUAUUCCACCGGCUGCUGUCAUGCAUCACCACCGUAGAUGUCAUCAAUGGCUUUGUCUAUUCUGCUGAAUCUGUUCGAAUUCCUAGUAGAUCCAUUAUCAAAUUUAUCCGGUAUCAUUCUCUUACUCGCUUGUGAUUUCUCCCCUUGACUCUCUCGACUUGUAACUUCUCAAACCAAGAGGAAGGAACAAGGGGAACACCAAAUCAAAGGUAGCCAUGAAUCGUAUCAUAUGUUUUCUUCUCUUUGAUAGUUUAUGUUCAAAUGUUUGACUUUUGAUUCACCGAUAAUGAACUGCUGUUGGGAACAAUUUGGAUUUUUAGUAUUAUAUUUUCUUCUCUCCAUUUCAUGGGCAGUUUUAAUGGAGGAUAUUUUCUGUUUCUCUAGCUAGGAAGUGGAAGAUCCCUUAAUUUUAAUCCAUGAGAAAAAAAUAUCCACCCUAAAUGUUGUGGUGAAAGUAUUGGAGCUAGCGUUAAAGGUAAGUUGUUAUUUUCAUGGCCUAUUAAAAGUUCACAUGUUAUCUGAUGUCAUUGUUUAUGCAAUUUAAUUGAUAUUCCUCAAAGUAAAAGGUAUUUACUGAUUGUUGCUGAAGACGUGAAAAGUGAUGCUCUGGAAACUCUUAUUCUGAACAAGAUUCAUGUUGGAAUAAAGGUUUUGUCUUAUGUUAUAUAUAAUUUUUUUUAUUUGUUUAAUGAAGUUACUAUUGGUUGUAGGAUGCAUUUUUUUUUUUUUAAUUUAAUGGUUGUGUGAUUAUGGAUUUAUUGAAGGUUUGUGCCGUUAACGUUUCUUAAGAGUAUUUCCUAUUAUGAAAGUGCUGGUUUGUGGUUUAUUGAAUUCUUAUUUGAAUGAUACUGAUAAAAUUGGGCUGUAUUUUAGAAAUAGUAAUUUAGGCCUCUGCAGAAGUACUGCCAUGUUCACUGGGCAGUGGUGUGAAUAGCUACAGUUAUUUAACUGUAACAUCUUAGUCAGGAAGUUUGCUUCUCUGAAGUAAUUUAAAAUGAUUUUUUUAGACCAUAUGCUAACUGUGGAAUACAGUUUUGUUUGCUUGUUUUCUUUUGAUGUUUCCAGAUACAAGAAUCUUUCUCUGAUGUCAUACAUUUUUAUUUUGUAGUGAAGGAGAAUUUUCAUCAACUGCAUAUCAUGAUCUACUUGGACAACAUGUUGUGUUUGCUGAACAUACAGUCGUGUCAUCUACUGCGCAUCGAUGCCCAUAUAUUGUUUUCUAGUGGUGUUGCUGUUUUGAACGUCAGUAUCACUAAAGGCAAUAAAUUAAUUCAAUUCUCCUGUGGAUAGGACUAGAAGAAAAUAAUUAACUCACAUCCACAUGCAGGGUUUGGAGAUACUAUUAGGCCUUUCCAUUAUUGUUACUUUAAUGUGAUAGACCACUAGUAAAAGAGCAAAAAUAGUGAUAGAAAUUUUCCUUCGCAGAUUGGAGGAGAUUGGUGUUCAGAUUAUCCAAAAUGCUCUUAAGGUUUCAAUCUUCUAUAUUUUCUUUUUGAUUGCUAAAUAUUUUAUUUAGAUUUAAUUUCUUUUUUUCAAAACGUUGAAUUGGAAUCUAUUUGACUGAAGGCUGAAUGAAACUUAAGUAAAAAAAUUCUAUGGUAUUGAUAACAA